rnacentral:rRNA from 1 species
UACAGAGGGUGCGAGCGUUGUCCGGAAUCACUGGGCGUAAAGGGCGCGUAGGCGGCCUGCUAAGUAGAGGGUGAAAUCCUGCGGCUCAACCGCAGGGCUGCCUUCUAAACUGUCAGGCUGGAGCACGGUAGAGGCAGAUGGAAUUCCCGGUGUAGCGGUGGAAUGCGUAGAGAUCGGGAAGAACACCAGUGGCGAAGGCGACGUGCUGGGUUGCAACUGACGCUGAGAUGCGAAAGUGUGGGGAGCAAACGGG